UUUUAGCAAAGUGGAUCCUGGCCAAAACAUCUGAGAAAUGUUGCGUUUCUCAUUGCUUAUGGAGAGAUGUGAAGAUCUGUUUAGGGGCCUGGAGCUGGGGAUAUGAUAUUUCUGAAGUAUCUUCUUUCUAUGCAUGAAGAAAUCACACAAAAUAAUAUAGAGCAAUGAUCUACAAAGAACUAUGAACAACGUAUCCCCGGACAAAGGAAAGACAAUAUUUAUACAGUGAUGUUCCCUUGGAGGAAAAGGCAGAACAAAUGGACAAGAUGGUUAUCUAAGAAGCCGCUCGAGGAAAGGAAGUGCUCAUGAAGCAGAUAUUGAGCCGACAGUUUCGGUUGCUGAACGUUCUGAUGAAGAAUAAUCAGCCCUAAGGAUCUGCUGAGUGAACAUGUUUGUAUUGGACCCAGCACUUGGCUAGUAACCAACAGAGACAUUCAUCUGAAUGAUUCCUAUCACAGUUCAUGAUGAGGACCUUAAUGAUUUCCCACCUGGGUGAAAACGCUGUGCUUUAUGUACUGAGGUCAACAAUCACUGGACAUUCCAGCACGGGAAGAGCAGCUGUUACAGAUAUUCAUCUUUGUUCAUCUGCCCAAUGUAAACUGGGCUUUCAUGCUUAGAAUGCUAGUACCAACUACUGAGCUAUCAAUUCACU